rnacentral:misc_RNA from 1 species
GAAAUGCGAUAACUAGUGUGAAUUGCAGAAUUCCGUGAAUCAUCGAGUCUUUGAACGCACAUUGCGCCCCCUGGUAUCCCGGGGGGCAUGCCUGUCCGAGCGUCAUUGCUGCCCAUCAAGCACGGCUUGUGUGUUGGGUCGUCGUCCCCUCUCCGGGGGGACGGGCCCCAAAGGCAGCGGCGGCACCGCGUCCGAUCCUCGAGCGUAUGGGGCUUUGUCACCCGCUCUGUAGGCCCGGCCGGCGCUUGCCGAACGCAAAUCAAUCUUUUUCCAGGUUGACCUCGGAUCAGGUAGGGAUACCCGCUGAACUUAAGC